rnacentral:rRNA from 1 species
AUUGAACGCUGGCGGCAGGCCUAACACAUGCAAGUCGAGCGAGCGGCGGACGGGUGAGUAAUGUCUGGGAAACUGCCUGAUGGAGGGGGAUAACUACUGGAAACGGUAGCUAAUCCCGCAUACAAUCAGAUUUGCCCAGUUGGGUUUAGCUGGUGGGUGGGGUAAUGGCUCACCUAGGCGACGAUCCCUAGCUGGUCUGAGAGGAUGACCAGCCACACGGGAACUGAGACACGGUCCAGACUCCUACGGGAGGCAGCAGUGGGGAAUAUUGCACAAUGGGCGCAAGCCUGAUGCAGCCAUGCCGCGUGUGUGAAGAAGGCCUUCGGGUUGUAAAGCACUUUCAGCGGGGAGGCGUUACCCGCAGAAGAAGCACCGGCUAACUCCGUGCCAGCAGCCGCGGUAAUAC